rnacentral:lncRNA from 1 species
UGGAAGAUAAGACUAUGCAAUUCUCGGCUUUAAACAAUUUUUUAACGUUAAUUUUUGAGACAGAGAAACACAGUGUGAGCGGGGUGGGGGCAGAGAGAGAGAGAGACAGAAUCUGAAGCAGGUUCCAAGCUCCAAGCUGUCAGCACACAGCCAGACACACAGCUCGAACCCAUGAACAGUGAGAUCAUGACCUGAGCACGUGGGACAUUUAACUGACUGAGCCACCCGGGCGCCCCUACGUUUUUUAAAGUUUAGAAAUUUUUACAGACUCUGAUAUGCUAACAUAAAUUUUGAAUUUUCCAGAAUGAAUUAUAAUAUGUGCUGUUUCCCAAACUUACGUGACCUCUUUUCCUCAAAAAAAAACCCCAAAAAACAAAAAAGCCUUUGGAAUGUUUUCUUGCAUGCUGGGCAUUUGCGAUGCUGUGAUAGCAAAUCACCUUCUUUGCUUUUAUUGACCAAAUAAAUAAGCUCAUACAUGUAGAAAUAUGCAAUGCUUCUAGGGUUACCCGAUUUGGCAAAUAAAAAUACAGGAUAUCACUAAAUUUAAGCGUCAGAUCAACAGUGGCUAAUCAUUCAGUAGAUGCAUAUCCCGUGUGUAAAUUAAAAAAAAAAAAACACUGUGUAUCCAAAAUUCAGAUUUAACUGGGUAUCCUGCAUGUUCUCUGGCACUCCUCAACACCUAAGGAGAAAAAGCUCAAAGAGUUCUGGCAGUGCUGAAAAGUUCCAUUCUGACUUGACUGCUUACAUCCGAGGUGCCAUGUCUUGGGGAUGGCGGACAGGAGGCAUUCUUUCCCCCAAAUCUGUCCAUUCCUGGGUUCAGAUAUUCAAUGUGUAUUUAACUAAGAGCAAAUAUAUUUGAAAGGCUUCUCCAAAUAAUCCUAUCUCAAACAUUACCCGGAUCUAGUCUGUUCAUGGUUUAGAUGGCAGAAUUUAGGUAAGCAGAACCUGGGUGGUGAAGAACAACUUAUAAAGACAGUUUCGCGCAUAUUUGUUUGGUGUACUUGUUGCAAUACUGCUCUAAUUUUCCCAUGAAAUUCUGCAUGUGUGGUGAUGAUGUAUCAAUCAGGGCAGAUCUCAGAAUGUAAUGCUAACGAAAAGCAUGAAGGAGAUAACAUUAUAGCGUGUUCUCUUUCAACAAACUAUUUAGCUCAGCU